rnacentral:rRNA from 1 species
UACGUAGGGUGUAAGCGUUGUCCGGAAUUAUUGGGCGUAAAGAGCUCGUAGGCGGUUUGUCGCGUCUGCUGUGAAAACUCGGGGCUUAACCCCGGGCCUGCAGUGGGUACGGGCAGACUAGAGUGCGGUAGGGGAGACUGGAAUUCCUGGUGUAGCGGUGAAAUGCGCAGAUAUCAGGAGGAACACCGGUGGCGAAGGCGGGUCUCUGGACAGUUCCUGACACUGAGACACGAAGGCCAGGGGAGCAAACGGG